ensembl:snRNA U6 U6 spliceosomal RNA
GUGCUCACUUUGGCAGCACAUAUAUUAAAAUUGGAAUACAGAGAAGAUUAGUUUGGCCCCUGUGCAAAUUCAUGAAACAUUCCAUAUUUUU